UUCAGCGCAAGCCGAUGAAGGAAGUAGGACGAGCACCUCGUCAAAAUUGGGUUUCGUUGAAGCAUCACGAGGAUGUUAAACUUUUCAAAAUGUUUGUGGACUCCGUUAAGGAUUUCAAGGAGAGGUACUAUGUUGUCCGGCCAGAGUCUCCAUCUGCCCGGGAGAGUUUAAUGGAGCUGGAGGAAGAUAAGGACGAGCAAGGUGUUGCUCGUAAGGAUGCCGGCGGGCAAGUUAUAGUUCGGGCAGUUCCUAAGUU
rnacentral:lncRNA from 1 species